rnacentral:rRNA from 1 species
UCCCUUUGGUGAGGAAUAACACGAGAAAACUUGUGCUAAUACCUCAUAAGUCUUUACGGAGAAAGCUUUAUGCGCCAAUGGAUGAGCCCGCAUUUGAUUAGUUUGUUGGUAGGGUAAUGGCCUACCAAGACUGUGAUCAAUAGCUGAUCUGAGAGGAUGAUCAGCCACAUUGGGACUGAGACACGGCCCAAACUCCUACGGGAGGCAGCAGUAGGGAAUAUUGCACAAUGGAGGAAACUCUGAUGCAGCGAUGCCGCGUGAGUGAAGAAGGCCUUUGGGUUGUAAAGCUCUUUCGUCGGGGAAGAAAAUGACUGUACCCGAAUAAGAAGGUCCGGCUAACUUCGUGCCAGCAGCCGCGGUAAUACGAAGGGACCUAGCGUAGUUCGGAAUUACUGGGCUUAAAGAGUUCGUAGGUGGUUAAAAUAGUUGGUGGUGAAAUCCCAGAGCUUAACUCUGGAACUGCCAUCAAAACUUUUUAGCUAGAGUUUGAUAGAGGAAAGCAGAAUUUCUAGUGUAGAGGUGAAAUUCGUAGAUAUUAGAAAGAAUACCAAUUGCGAAGGCAGCUUUCUGGAUCAUUACUGACACUGAGGAACGAAAGCAUGGGUAGCGAAGAGGAUUAGAUACCCUCGUAGUCCAUGCCGUAAACGAUGUGUGUUAGACGUUGGAAAUUUAUUUUCAGUGUCGCAGCGAAAGCAUUAAACACACCGCCUGGGGAGUACGACCGCAAGGUUAAAACUCAAAUGAAUUGACGGGGACCCGCACAAGUAGUGGAGCAUGUGGUUUAAUUCGAAGAUACGCGCAGAACCUUACCAACACUUGACAUGUUCGUCGCGACUCUAAGAGAUUAGAGUUUUCGGUUCGGCCGGACGAAACACAGGUGCUGCAUGGCUG